GACGAACGCUGGCGGCGUGCUUAACACAUGCAAGUCGAGCGGCGCGGCGCACGGGUGAGUAACGCGUGAGUAACUGCCCCCCUCCCUGGGAUAACAGUUGGAAACGGCUGCUAAUACCGGAUAGUGGGGGAUGCCUCGCGUUCUAUCAGCUUGUUGGUGGGGUAGUGGCCUACCAAGGCGACGACGGGUAGCCGGCCUGAGAUGGCGACCGGCCACAGUGGGCUAAGAUACGGCCCAAGAUCCUACGGGGGACAGCAGUGAGGAAUAUUGCACAGAAGGGGAAACCCUGAAGCAGCAACGCGCGAGCGGGAUGACGGCCUUCGGGUUGUAAACCGGUUUCAGCCAUAACGCGGUAGUGGCAGAAGAAGCACCGGCUAACUACGUGCCAGCAGCCACGGUAGUUC
rnacentral:rRNA from 1 species